GAGAAAUCAGUGAUGGAGAGAGAGAUUUAUUUUGUUGUGCCAAGAUGUUUUAUUUGUUACCGGUAUUUCCAGAAGAACAGGGUAAAUAUUAAAACUCGCGCGAUCGGUACAUGGAUCCGUGAGCAAUCUGAAACACAAAUAGAAACAAUAAUUGAAUAUCUGCUCGAUUGGAUACGAAUCUUCAGUCGAAAGUCUGUCUUAGUUCUUCGAUAAGGAUGUUUAGAAUUAUAUUUGUAUUUACCUGAUGAUUCUCCUCUAGGACCCAAUACUGAUGAAGGUCUCGGCUUCGGUUUGGCUUCUUCUAUUAUUUCUUUCUUUUCCCCU